rnacentral:rRNA from 1 species
GUGGGCGCAGGAUAUUUGAGAGGAACUGUCCUUAGUACGAGAGGACCAGGACAGACGAACCUAGGGUGUUCCAGUUGUCACGCCAGUGGCAUUAGCUGGGUAGCUAUGUUCGGAAAGGAUAAGCGCUGAAAGCAUAUAAGCGCCAAGCCUCCCUCAAGAAAGGAUAUCCCUGAAAGCACCUUGAAGACUACAAGGUUGAUAGGUUUCAAGUGUAAGGUCUGUAAAGAUUUUAGCUUAGAAAUACUAAUCUGCUGUUCGGCUUGACCUU